UUCAUCUUCUCUUCACAAUCCUCUUUGUGAUAAUAUGCAAAGCAACUGCAGAAAAUUUGCGUACUGCUUCAAAGCCGAGUUUCUUAACCACGGCAGGCCCAACAGUAACAAUCGAUCAAACCACACAACGGAUUGAAACACCAACUGCAGAGAAAAGUUCUACUGCAAAUGAUCCAAAGGGAAUAUCUUGCUUUACAUGUUCAAGGAAUAAAGAAA